rnacentral:rRNA from 1 species
CGAACGGGUGAGUAACACGUGGGUGACCUGCCCCAAUGAUCGGGACAACCCGGGGAAACUCGGGCUAAUACCGAAUGUGCUCCUCGCCGUAAGGGCGAGAAGGAAAGGUAGCUUCGGCUUCCGCAUUGGGAUGGGCCCGCGGCCCAUUAGCUUGUUGGUGGGGUAAUGGCCCACCAAGGCGACGAUGGGUAGCUGGUCUGAGAGGACGAUCAGCCACACUGGGACUGAGACACGGCCCAG